rnacentral:rRNA from 1 species
UACAGAGGGGGCAAGCGUUGUUCGGAAUUACUGGGCGUAAAGCGCACGUAGGCGGCUUUGCAAGUUAGAGGUGAAAGCCCAGGGCUUAACCCUGGAAUUGCCUUUAAAACUGCAUCGCUAGAAUUGUGGAGAGGUGAGUGGAAUUCCGAGUGUAGAGGUGAAAUUCGUAGAUAUUCGGAAGAACACCAGUGGCGAAGGCGACUCACUGGACACAUAUUGACGCUGAGGUGCGAAAGCGUGGGGAGCAAACAGG